GGAUAUGAGGACAAUGUACUUGCUGUAUCUGUCACCCCACUGGGCCCCACGGAUGACUGGGUUGAUCUAGCUAGCUAGACAGAUGUCCCCUUCCCUCACUGAAGCUCCAUAUGUGUCGCUUCUGAAACGACACAGCUCAUGAAGAUGAUCUUCCCUAAUACGGAAGGCCAUUCUUCAGCCCAAGGAAAAUACAUAGCUGUGCUGUCCUGCUACGACCCCCAAAUAAGGUGCUCUCCUUAUCUAGGGAAUAAAGACAAAAGCAGUUCGGUUUUGUACAGAUAUAGCCAUUUCAGGCCUAAUUAAGUUUUCAGUUCAGAGAUUGGUU
rnacentral:snRNA from 1 species